GCAUAUCAAUAAGCGGAGGAAAAGAAACCCACAGGGAUUGCCCUAGUAACGGCGAGUGAAGCGGCAACAGCUCAAAUUUGAAAUCUGGCGCAAGCCCGAGUUGUAAUUUGUAGAGGAUGCUUCUGGGCAGCGGCCGGUCUAAGUUCCUUGGAACAGGACGUCAUAGAGGGUGAGAAUCCCGUAUGCGACCGGCUUGCACCCGUCACGUAGCUCCUUUCGACGAGUCGAGUUGUUUGGGAAUGCAGCUCUAAAUGGGAGGUAAAUUUCUUCUAAGGCUAAAUACCGGCCAGAGACCGAUAGCGCACAAGUAGAGUGAUCGAAAGAUGAAAAGCACUUUGGAAAGAGAGUUAAAAAGCACGUGAAAUUGUUGAAAGGGAAGCUCACGCAGCCAGACUUGUCGGCGGUGUUCCGCCGGUCUUCUGACCUGUCUAUUCGCCGCCGGCAGGCCAGCAUCACUUGGGAGCGCCGGAUAAAGGCGUGCGGAAUGUAGCCCCUCGGGGCAUUAUAGCCGCGCGCACAAUACGGCGCCUCCCGAGUGAGGUCCGCGUUUCGGCUAGGAUGCUGGCGUAAUGGUUGCUUGAGGCCCGUCUUGAAACACGGACCAAGGAGUCUAACAUCUAUGCGAGUGUUCGGGUGUCAAACCCCUACGCGGAAUGAAAGUGAACGGAGGUGGGAACCCCAAGGUGCACCAUCGACCGAUCCUGAUGUCUUCGGAUGGAUUUGAGUAAGAGCAUAGCUGUUGGGACCCGAAAGAUGGUGAACUAUGCCUGAAUAGGGUGAAGCCAGAGGAAACUCUGGUGGAGGCUCGCAGCGGUUCUGACGUGCAAAUCGAUCGUCAAAUUUGGGCAUAGGGGCGAAAGACUAAUCGAACCAUCUAGUAGCUGGUUCCUGCCGA
rnacentral:rRNA from 1 species